rnacentral:tRNA from 1 species
GCAGUCGUGGCCGAGUGGUUGAGGCGUCUGACUUGAAAUCAGAUUCCCUCUGGGAGCGUAGGUUCGAGUCCUGCCGACUGCG